rnacentral:rRNA from 1 species
UACAGAGGCCCCAAGCGUUACUGAGAAUCACUGGGUUUAAAGGGUGCGUAGGUGGCGCGUUAAGUCCGUUGUGAAAGCCCUGGGCUCAACCCAGGAACUGCUUCGGAUACUGGCGCGCUUGAGGCUAGUAGGGGUCACUGGAACUGACGGUGGAGCGGUGGAAUGCGUAGAUAUCGUCAGGAACGCCAAUGGUGAAGACAGGUGACUGGGCUAGUUCUGACACUGAGGCACGAAAGCGUGGGGAGCGAACGGG